CAAUAGCGUAUAUUAAAGUUGUUGCAGUUAAAAGCUCGUAGUUGAAUUUCUAGUUAGCUAUUCUCUGGUCUUCCAGAUACUAGUUAGCUAUCCGACAAUGAACCAUAUCGGUUAUUAAGUUAACCUAUGGAGAACUGUCAUUUUACUUUGAAAAAUUAGAGUGUUUCAGGCAGGCAUUUGCCCGAAUAUCUUAGCAUGGAAUAAUGGAAUAGGACUUUGGUUCAUUUUAUUGGUUAUUGAAUCAGAGUAAUGAUUAAUAGGGACAGUUGGGGCAGUUAGUAUUUAAUUGUCAGAGGUGAAAUUCUUGGAUUUAUUAAAGACUAUCUUAUGCGAAAGCAUUUGCCAAGGAUGUUUUCAUUAAUCAAGAACGAAAGUUAGGGGAUCGAAGACGAUUAGAUACCA
rnacentral:rRNA from 1 species